rnacentral:rRNA from 1 species
UGGGGAAUUUUGGACAAUGGGGGAAACCCUGAUCCAGCCAUCCCGCGUGUGCGAUGAAGGCCUUCGGGUUGUAAAGCACUUUUGGCAGGAAAGAAACGUCGCGGGUUAAUACCCCGCGAAACUGACGGUACCUGCAGAAUAAGCACCGGCUAACUACGUGCCAGCAGCCGCGGUAAUACGUAGGGUGCAAGCGUUAAUCGGAAUUACUGGGCGUAAAGCGUGCGCAGGCGGUUCGGAAAGAAAGAUGUGAAAUCCCAGAGCUUAACUUUGGAACUGCAUUUUUAACUACCGGGCUAGAGUGUGUCAGAGGGAGGUGGAAUUCCGCGUGUAGCAGUGAAAUGCGUAGAUAUGCGGAGGAACACCGAUGGCGAAGGCAGCCUCCUGGGAUAACACUGACGCUCAUGCACGAAAGCGUGGGGAGCAAACAGGAUUAGAUACCCUGGUAGUCCACGCCCUAAACGAUGUCAACUAGCUGUUGGGGCCUUCGGGCCUUGGUAGCGCAGCUAACGCGUGAAGUUGACCGCCUGGGGAGUACGGUCGCAAGAUUAAAACUCAAAUGAAUUGACGGGGGUCAUA